UUUCUUUCUGGAGAUUGCUCCUCCUGGAGUUUUUCCUGUGAGCCUAUGAUACAGGACUAAGAAAAACUCUGUUUUCUCGGGCUUCAAGGAGGGAUAAACUGAAAAUGUUGUUUUGAGGCCUGAAUCUUUCUUCUCAUGGUUCUUACUGACCUUUUGAAGUAAUUUUGCUCUGGUCAUUACUCACUUGCAAGCUCGUUUGAAGGGAACCUCAGCCUUACCCUUGAGUGAUUCAAGCAAGACCUUAAUAGAUACUCAGUUGUCUGAAGUGAUAAUGAAAAUUUAAUACAGCAUCAGUGGACUUAACUACACAUGAUUCCUGUGAACAUGGAUCAUACUGUCAUCUAUUUAAACACAGCUAAGUACUAGGAAGCAAUACUACUUUGUAACACCAAAGAAAUCUUCUUGGCCAAGAUCUUCUCCAAAAGUAAUGCCUCCUAUUUUAUUAUGUUGAACCGUGAUGUCAGAGGCAGAUGUUGGUGUUAUGACAGUAGAGGCUAAGCCUUCCCACAACUAUUACAUUACAUUUUGCUGUCAUGUGACAUAUGGCAACAGAUGGGCAGUCUGACAAAAUGGUGUAUGAGAUGGGAGCGUGUAUGAAGCAAAGAUGUGUCAUUGAAUUCUUCCAUUUGGAAAAAAUGGUUCCUGUUGACAUUCACUGACACUUGCUGAACGCAUACGAAGACCAAACAUUGGAUGUGAGCACAGUGAUGUGGUGGGUGGUGUGUUUUUGCAGUGGUAACACUGACAGGGGGUCACCUCCAUUGAUGCAGAUAUUUAAGAGCAUCUUAUUCAUCAGUGGGGAAAAUGUAUAACUACUGGUGGUGGUUUGUAUCUGAGAAUUUGCUCUAUCAAAUAGUGUUAUUGUGCUUUUUGUUUCUGAUGUUGUUUCCGUGGAAAUAAAUAGGAGGCAUUACCUUUACAGCGAUGUACCAUAGAGCUGAGAUGUUUCUAGAUUUGAGGUAUCGAGAUGCACCUCAAUAUAAAUACAAACCUUACUGAUUUAGUCUGAGGAGCAGAAACAAUUGUAUCUGUAUUGCCUUAAGCUAGUUAUGUGUUUGAUCAUUGUGGUAGGUCUAUCUUUCAGUGCAUUGUAUCUGUAUAUCCUGAUCUGAAGAAGUGAAAAUAGUUAUUUGGAGCACUUCAUUUUUCAGUUUUUAUGAACCUGCUCAGGUUAUGUUCAGCAUGUACUUUUUUUCUUCCUUGGAAAGUUGUAUGAUUUCAUAGGAAUGGGAGUUUGUUUGUUUGUUUCUAAUGGGAAAUAACUAAAUACAGAGUGCU
ensembl:lncRNA